rnacentral:siRNA from 1 species
AUUAGAAGAUUCAUGCAACGCCUA